CGAUUCCAGAAGCCGCAGCGGCCAGAAUGAGUGAGGACGCGCGUGGGGCACCCGGCAUAGGGUUGUUUUUUGUUGCUAUUGUGGUGACUACAAGACUAAGGAACAUGACGUGGCGGAGAGGAGAGACGAGAAAGAGUCAUGUCAGUGAGGAAGAAGACGGAGUGGCUCGAGUAAAUGAAAGAGAGAGCGGAGCAGAGGAACGCACCACACGGGAACUAUUUUUUUCAACGAGGCUCGCGGAAGAAUACCAGGACGGAGCAUGACGUCAUCAAGGAGAGGAGUGGUGACUGGUGAGGGUGGUUCCUGACUCUCCCUGGGACGUGGCGGGGAGUUUCCCUUUGUCUUCUGGGUUGUGGUGGUGGUGGUCGUGGUCGUGCGGGACUGUCCAGGAGCGGAUGAGACGUCCAGAAUGGUUCCUACAGGACGAAAGAGAAGCUAUUUCGGCGCUUCGAGACCUGAAUAGGAGCAUCUCGGCCCCACGGCGACAACACCUGUCUUCCUUCCGCCCCCCCACGACCCCCUGGCACCUUUUCCAGGCCGCCAGGUUAAGGGGAAGCUGGCCAAGUCGUCUCCUUUUGCUGUCUCUUGUACGCAGUACCUCGGAUGCCUUGUACUGACUGCCACGUACUGUUUCUGGUUCUUGUAUGUAGUAGUACUAGUAAUAGUAGUGGUUUCUCCAUUUUUAUCUGCAUAUAGUCUUGCCAUACUGUUCUGAAGAUAGUCGUUUGCUAAAAAAGA
rnacentral:lncRNA from 1 species